rnacentral:lncRNA from 1 species
AGAACUUUAAAGAAAAACUCAAUUGAGUUUGUUAUGACUGUGAUUAAUAYGGUGCCUUGCACACAGCAGGACCAGUGGUUUGAGAGGAUCUCUGGGUAGUAGGUUGGGGCCCUUGGGGUCAGCUAUGCAUUGCCCAUUUGUCAGGUGGAACUGGCUUUGUGCGACACAGCAGGGCAAGAAGACUAUGAAUGUCUAUGGCCUCUCUCCUAUCUGGACACAGAUGUCAUCCUCAUGUGCAUCUCCAUUAACAGCCCUGACAGCCUGGAAAACAUUCCUGAGAAGUGGACCCUGGAGGUGAAGCACUUCUGCCCCAACAUGCCCAUCAUCCUAGUGGGGAAUAAGAAGGACUCGGGCAAGAUGAGCAUACCAGGAGAGAGCUGGCCAAGAUGAAGCAGGAACCUGUCCGAUCUGAGGAAGGCCGGGAUAUGGCAAAUCAUAUCAGUGCCUUGAGUGCUCUGCCAAAACCUAUGAGGGAAUGCCGGAGGUUUUUGAGAUGGCCACUCAAGCUGGCCUCCAGGUCCGCAAGAAUAAGCACCAGAGGGGCUGUCCCAUUCUCUGAGAUCCCCACAGCUCCUGAUGCCCUUUUCCUUCACAGGGGCUUAGGGAUCACCCACCUGCCCUUGAGCUCCWCCCUUAGGACUCCAUGCUGAAGGCUCCUUUUUCCAGUUCCCUCAUGCCCAGGAUUGCAUCGUUUCCCUAGCCCCCAGAGUGGUGGCAGGCCUGCCCUCCCUCCCUGUCYUCUGGGAGCUGGGCCUGUGGCCUGCCCUUCUUGAGCAGUUCCUCUCCCUGCUGCCUUGGUCCAGGGGUAGGGCUCUUGCUCUCUUUGGCCCUCCCCAGAGGAUGGUCACACACUAGCACUUUAUAUACUUMUGGCUCAGAGGAGCAUUUCUAGGGUAGGUGGAUUGGGGUUUCUCCUUUGGGCAGGGGCCUUGUCUCUGACUGCACUUGGUGGGGGGCAUGAAUAAAGGCCAUAGGUUCUAACA